rnacentral:tRNA from 1 species
UCCCCAAUAGCUCAGUUGGUAGAGCGCUCGGCUGUUAACCGAUAGGUCGUUGGUUCAAGUCCAACUUGGGGAGCCA